AUGAAUCUCAUAUUCUGCAUGUCUGUGAUUUCAGCCUUCAUCUUUCCAUUUCCAGGUUUUGUGUUAGGCAAUGAUGUGUCCCAAAGUGAUUCUGAGAUAACAGCAAGAGAAGGCGACACCAUCACCCUGGAUUGCAGUUACACAUCCACCAAAUACGUUCUAAUCUGGUAUUUGCAGAAGCCUGGGAUGUCUUUGGUAUUUCUUCUUAAUGAUGAGAAACAGAAAAGUGAUCUAGAUGAGGAGUACAGGGAGCGAUACUCUGCCUCUCAUGACCCGCUGAGAAAAACCUUUCAGCUGACAAUUACAAACAUUCAGCUUUCUGAUGCUGGGGAUUAUUACUGUGCUCUGGAGCAUGGCACUGUAUGCAUUGCAGAGUCUGAGCUGCACUAUAACUCUCUCUGCUGA